CCGCUAGUUGUUUCUUUCUUUCCUUUUGUAUCAAAAAAGAUGAAGUUUUGAAUCUUGUUGACGAUGAAGAUGGUUGUGACACGAAGAUGGUUGUGACACACAUGUCAGAUAUAGGGGGCAAAAGAGUCUUUUAGCCACGCAUGUGACACACAUGUGACGACUAUUUAACGUCAAGUUGUGUUCUGUUAGGGUUAGGUAUCGCCAGCGUAAGGAUUUGGAAACUAUAGGUAUGUCUCGGGUAAUUUUUGAAUUGUAGGUAUGAUGAGUGUAGUUUUUGAUAAACCUCAGGUAUCGUUUUUGUAAUUUACCCAUAUAUUUAUAAUAGUCUGGAUAUUUGAUGUGUCA